GCGUGGGAUAGUGGCAAAGGAAGAUCAAGGAACUGAUGAUGUCUGAAGAAGACCUUGGCAAUGGAGAAGCAGGAGCAUGUGAGACCUAAAGGCUAAACACGUGAGGACCAGGGGCUCCAGUGUUCGCAGUCAGGAGUGGUGAAGGUAGCACAGGCACCAGGGAGCUCUGUUUCUGUCGAGCUGGCAGGGAGGGCACUAAUAGGAGGAGGGAAACCUGCCCAUGCCAGUGACUGGAUUGUCUUCUCCGGCCCUAACACUCAGCACUAUGCUACUUAGUUUUAACUGUCAACUUGGCACCAUCUGGAAAUAUGGGAAUAGAGUCUUAGUGAAGAUUUAUCUCAAGUUGGUUGGCCGGUGGGCAUGCCUGUAGGGGAUCAUCCUCAGUGGUUCCUGACACACGGAGACCUACGCUGAAUGUGAGCAGCAGCACUUGGUAGGGAAGGCCUGAGUCUGUCUGAGUAGAGUUCAUGCCAUCUGGAUCCUGUUUCCUGGGCUACAUUUCCAAUGCCAAGUUACCAUUUCAUUUGGUAUAGUGGAGAAUUAAAUACUACAUCAUCUUAGUAAUGUUGAAAUGAGGAAGAGAUGCUCUUUGCUGAUCAUGGAGGUCCUACACAGAACAGUGGAACUUGUUUUAUGGAUGCAGUGUGCUCACCGAGCAUGUCCAAAGAGAAAUUCAUCGUCUCCAGGGGACCUGGUUCCAGCCUCUCAGAGCUUCUGGUCUUGCGUGGAGUUCUUUGCUUUGCAGAAUAACAUUUACUAUAACACGAUAUUUCCUCUUUUCCCCUUCUUUCCAAGCUACGUGACUAGUAGCUUAAAGCCAGAUAUUUUUACUUUAAAACAAACAGCAAUGUAAAAAUCUCCCUACCUCUUAGCAAAUAAACAAGAGGACGGAAGCUUCCCAGGA